AUCCGAUCCGUCUCCUACGGGCUGUCACUUUCAAGGCUAGCAGGCUAGCCACUACUCUACGUCGCGGGGGGGACAAACCGUGAGUUCGGUUUUAACACGACGUCGCUGGGCGGCUGGAGGUUAGUGAGUGUCUCCUAAUGGCCAGUGUCGGUGUGUUGUAGCGUGAGCCGAAUACAGCUCACUUUGAAACAAGGGUCCAAGCUAAAGGCUGAACACGUUGUGUGGCCGCUCGUCUUUGUCAGAUAGCGCGUGAACCGUCAGCAAGUGGGUCGCUCGGUCAGGAAACGCUGUCUGGGCCCUUUCCGCCCCGCUGAUCUCCGCCCCAGGAUGCCGUGCCACAACCAGCAGAUGAACAGUGUCAACAGUGGCCCGGACCACCCAGUGAAGCAGGUCCGGUUCGCUAACAGCGGCGGUGUCCCCCCGGUGCUGAGCAGCUCUGAGCCCAGCGAUGCCACCACACUACCCAGUCAGGAAAACCUGGGACCGCAGCUCAAGCUGCUCCCUCUCAACGACCAGAUCCGAGAACUACAGACCAUCAUCAGAGACAAGACAACCAGCAGAGGAGAUUUCGUUUUUUGUGCCGACCGUCUGAUAAGACUAGUAGUUGAAGAGGGCUUGAAUCAGCUCCCUUACUCAGAGUGCACUGUGACUACACCAACAGGGUACAAGUAUGAAGGUGUCAAGUUUGAAAGAGGCAAUUGUGGAGUCAGCAUAAUGAGGAGUGGCGAGGCCAUGGAACAGGGUCUCCGGGACUGCUGCCGCUCCAUCCGCAUUGGCAAGAUCCUCAUCCAGAGCGAUGAAGAGACACAGAAAGCCAAGGUCUACUAUGCCAAGUUCCCCCCAGAUGUGUACAGAAGAAAGGUGCUGCUCAUGUAUCCCAUCCUCAGUACAGGGAAUACAGUGAUCGAAGCAGUGAAGGUGUUGAUAGAGCACGGAGUUCAACCCAGACACAUUAUCCUCCUCAGCCUCUUCUCCACACCUCAUGUCAGCAGGAUUACAGAAACACUUCUGCACAGAUUUUUAUAAAGUAUAGUGGAGUUAUUGGACAUUCCCUGAGGAGGAGCACAUUACUCUUUUUAGCGGAGCCAGAGAAAAACAGCAGGCAGGAUUUGUUUUUCACGUUAUUUAACAUGGAGCCAAAUCUAUAAUCCAGGAGUUCCCAGACAUCACCAUUCUGACCACAGAGGUUCAUCCAGUGGCUCCAACACAUUUUGGACAGAGGUACUUUGGCACCGACUAAACUGAGGAAGACCCGAGGAACAUGAUCUGCGACCUGUUGUGACAUUUAUUUAAAUAUUCCCUAUGUUCUCCUUGUUGUGCCAAAUACUGCAACGUGAUCUUACAAUUUCCCAGAUUGAUACAAAAUUGAUAGUGAUUGUAUUUAUUAUGUUUGUUUUGUUGCGGUGUAUACUCAUGCUAUAAAAAGAAGAAUACUCUGAAUCAUGAGGAGAGUUCAACUUGGAGCCUUUUAUUUUGCAUGUUACAACAAGUGAUGGAUCAAUAAAGAAUUUAUAUUUGUUAAAAGACAGAACAGAAAA